CAUAGACGGACAAAGGGAGAUGUUGAUUUCUAUCGUAAAUGGGCUGACUACAAGAAAGGAUUUGGUGAUAUUCAUGGAGAUUUCUGGAUCGGCAACGACAACAUUCACCUCCUGACAAACACUUCGAGGAAGCUACGUGUUGAAUUAAAGGCCUGGGACGGGACAUGGGGGUAUGCUGAGUAUACGAAUUUCCAGGUGGCUGACGAAACUCAAAAUUAUAAACUUCUGGUGAAUGGUUUUUCCGGGAACGUGUCAUUCAAUGCCAUGGGAAACAGUAACGGCUGCCCGUUCAGCACGAUUGAUAGAGACCAUGACCAUAAAUAUGAUAGUUGUGCUGCCUCUACAAAAAGUGGGUGGUGGCAUAGAGCGUGCGUAUGGUCGAACCUGAAUGGCGUUUAUCAUACACUUGCCGACAUGAAUACAUACAAAUCGUAUCAUAAGUAUGGAGGAGUAUUCGCAAUGCGUUGGGCGUACUUUCCAGACCCUGCCACAGAGCGAUAUCCACUGGAAAAGGCCAAGAUGAUGAUUCGAUAGACGCCAGUUUUAUAUGCCCACCCAAGUCAUCACUGCGUCUGACUCCAGUAAGAAUAGGACUUUGUGGAAUAAGUGCACAUGUUUCUUCGGUUUUGCAUUAACAAGUUACAUGGUUGAAGAAUGGAGAGGUGAACAUAGUCCAUGGGAUAUCAAGGAUGUAGAUUCUAUAGAAUUCUUGAAAAGGUAUCAAUGGAUUUUUCGUGAUUUGUGUAAAUGUUUCCAUCUCUAACCCGUCGUUUUAACCAUUAGGAAAUCUAUUGAAGAUGAAAGUGAAAAAGUGAUCAUGUACUUCUAUGCAUUCGGUACCAUUGUUUUCAGUCUGGAACAAAUUUGAUUCGAACCGAUAACAUUUCGCCUCAUUCCAGACACGUAUGACAUAAAGUUUAUAAGAACAAGAUCUAUUUGAACAGGACAUGCGUAAAUAUUUAUUGAGAGGAUUACUUCAAAUGUAAAUGGUAAAGAUACUACAUCGCCAACAGAGUAUGAACUGUUCUCUGAAAAAAUACAUACAAUGGCAUGCAUUGUAUAGAGAUAUAUAAAUGUAACUGAAAAUGAAAAAAAAAAAAAAAAAAAACCAAAUAACAGUAACAAUGUUUUUAGGACUGCUUAUCAUAUCAAAGAUUACAAACAAAAUAUAUAAGCGGGACACAAUGUAAUUUCUUGGGGUUUUAUUCAUCACUUUUUCGCUUAAUCUCAAACAUGGUUAAACAGAAAUUCAGUUUGAUGUGUUGUAAUAACGUGUUGUAGGAAACAUUUAGUAUUUUAUCAAAAACAGAUAUUUAAGUUCCAAUUUUCACUCAAUCAUACUUGCUCUUUAUCGACGAUGUACAUGCACCAUAUGUAAUGAAAAUACAGGAAUGAUCAGUGUAACUUUAUGUUAUUCUUUUGCUUUGAGAUUUUAGUUGUUGUAUGCCUUGCAUUUUAUGAAAUGAAUAAAUAUCUAUUCAACAAAAGUGUUCUUGUAUAUAUUGUGAUAGAUAUUUGCUAAAAUUAUUUUAAAAGAUACCUUACAUGGUAGACAGUUUGUAAUAUGUGGCUCACAAAUCAAGGGUGUUUCAUAACAUUUUUACGUCAUCUUACUCGGAAUGUAAAAUGACGCUCAAAGAGUCAGAAAGUAAAACUAUCUUAAAUGUUAUACACGUUGUAGCAUUGUAGAGUGUUUUCGCGAUGUCUCAC